AUUGAACGCUGGCGGCAUGCUUUACACAUGCAAGUCGGACGAGCGGCGGACGGGUGAGUAAUGUCUGGGAAACUGACUGAUGGAGGGGGAUAACUACUGGAAAAGGUAGCUAAUACCGCAUACCAUCAGAUGUGCCCAGAUGGGAUUAGCUAGUAGGUGGGGUAACGGCUCACCUAGGCGACGAUCCCUAGCUGGUCUGAGAGGAUGACCAGCCACACUGGAACUGAUACACGGUCCAGCCUCCUACGGGAGGCAGCAGUGGGGAAUAUUGCACAAUGGGCGCAAGCCUGAUGCAGCCAUGCCGCGUGUGUGAAGAAGGCCUUCGGGUUGUAAAGCACUUUCAGCGGGGAGGCGUUACCCGCAGAAGAAGCACCGGCUAACUCCGUGCCAGCAGCCGCGGUAAUUC
rnacentral:rRNA from 1 species